rnacentral:rRNA from 1 species
AUGAACGCUGGCGGCGUGCCUAAUACAUGCCAGUCGAGCGAACGGACGAGAAGCUUGCUUCUCUGAUGUUAGCGGCGGACGGGUGAGUAACACGUGGAUAACCUACCUAUAAGACUGGGAUAACUUCGGGAAACCGGAGCUAAUACCGGAUGAUAUUUUGAACCGCAUGGUUCAAAAGUGAAAGACGGUCUUGCUGUCACUUAUAGAUGGAUCCGCGCUGCAUUAGCUAGUUGGUAAGGUAACGGCUUACCAAGGCAACGAUGCAUAGCCGACCUGAGAGGGUGAUCGGCCACACUGGAACUGAGACACGGCCCAGACUCCUACGGGAGGCAGCAGUAGGGAAUCUUCCGCAAUGGGCGAAAGCCUGACGGAGCAACGCCGCGUGAGUGAUGAAGGUCUUCGGAUCGUAAAACUCUGUUAUUAGGGAAGAACAUAUGUGUAAGUAACUGUGCACAUCUUGACGGUACCUAAUCAGAAAGCCACGGCUAACUACGUG